rnacentral:rRNA from 1 species
UACGGAGGGGGCUAGCGUUGUUCGGAAUUACUGGGCGUAAAGCGCACGUAGGCGGCUUUGCAAGUUAGAGGUGAAAACCCGGGGCUCAACUCCGGAAUUGCCUUUAAAACUGCAUCGCUAGAAUUGUGGAGAGGUAAGUGGAAUUCCGAGUGUAGAGGUGAAAUUCGUAGAUAUUCGGAAGAACACCAGUGGCGAAGGCGACUUACUGGACACAUAUUGACGCUGAGGUGCGAAAGCGUGGGGAGCAAACAGG